GACGAACGCUGGCGGCGUGCUUAACACAUGCAAGUCGAACGGAAAGGCCCUGCUUUUGUGGGGUGCUCGAGUGGCGAACGGGUGAGUAACACGUGAGUAACCUGCCCUUGACUUUGGGAUAACUUCAGGAAACUGGGGCUAAUACCGGAUAGGAGCUCCUGCUGCAUGGGGGGGGUUGGAAAGUUUCGGCGGUUGGGGAUGGACUCGCGGCUUAUCAGCUUGUUGGUGGGGUAGUGGCUUACCAAGGCUUCGACGGGUAGCCGGCCUGAGAGGGUGACCGGCCACAUGGGGACUGAGAGACGGACCAGACUCCUACGGGAGGCAGCAGUGGGGAAUAUUGCACAAUGGGCGGAAGCCUGAUGCAGCAACGCCGCGUGCGGGAUGACGGCCUUCGGGUUGUAAACCGAUUUCGCCUGUGACGAAGCGUGAGUGACGGUAAUGGGUAAAGAAGCACCGGCUAACUACGUG
rnacentral:rRNA from 1 species